rnacentral:rRNA from 1 species
UACGUAGGGUCCGAGCGUUGUCCGGAGUUACUGGGCGUAAAGCGCGCGCAGGCGGCGCGGUCAGCAUGGCGUGAAAGCCCCCGGCUCAACCGGGGAGGGUCGUCGUGGACUGCCGCGCUUGAGGGCGGUAGGGGCUGGUGGAAUUCCCGGUGUAGUGGUGAAAUGCGUAGAGAUCGGGAGGAACACCCGUGGCGAAGGCGGCCAGCUGGGCCGACCCUGACGCUGAGGCGCGAAGGCGUGGGGAGCGAACGGG